ACGUUCUGGAAAGACACAGCAGAGAGAGACAGGAAAUGAAAGAGAAAGAGGAGUAGGGUCAGGACAACACUCAAAACUGGAUGACCUGUGGUAGUCUGCUGCCCCAAGCAUUCACUCAGCUGACUAAACUUGUUCCUCUCUGGAGAUGGAUCAGACAGGAGUUAUUUUAUGAGACCUGGAGAGAGAGACGCACUGAUAUCCACACACUAACCCCAGGGCCUGGCCCAGGUGUGACACACAGACAAAGAUUCUCUAUAGUAGACGGAGCCGUGUACUUGGCUUGAAGUAGCUGCUCAUUUGCAGACUGAAUAUGGCCGCUGAGUGAAGUCAUUUGUCUUAAAGGACCUCGAUGACACCUCAGAUCGUGCAGCUUUUUGAGGAAAGAUGGAGGUGAUAGGCGGUUCUGAGGAGGGCGAGAUGGGGGCCUGUUUGUACUGAGGUGGAGGCUGUGAUGGGUGAUGACUGUGGCGGUGCUCCUCUCACUCCAGCUCCCUUGUGACCGGCAGCAAGGCACUCCCAGUGCUCUCACCAGUCAGUCAUGAGGUGGCUGGUGAAGUGUUUCUUCAGGCCGUGUGGACAGGAGGAGCCGCUGCUGGCCUUCAGGACUGGAAAGUAUGCACUCUGUGGCCACAGUCCCACCUCUCAGCCUGGGAACGGAAGCUGGGAGUCGCAAGGGAAAACAAGCAGACAAUCAGUGCCCUGGGCUUUGCAAUGGAUAGCUUUCCCCCACCCUCCUGCUCCGAACGGCCACCCCCACCCCCAGCGCUGAAACCCGGCCAGCCCCAGCUGUCUGUCCAGAUGUGGGAGAGAAGGAGAGGCAAGGUCCAACAGGGGAUGAGGGCCUGAAACACAAAAGGGCUCCAGAGAGAAUGGAGCAAAAAGAGAACCAAGAGAGCUGCGAGAGAGAGAGGAAAAGAGGAAGAUUGAGAGAUGUCAAGGGGAAGUCUGAAUUUGUUCCCAGGGUCUUUAAGUAGAAGGUGAACGAGGAAUGGAAAGGUGUCACGAUGGCUUCCAAUUCAUCUCCGGAUGGUUCCAAAUGAGAGGAUCAAUGACACCAGACUGUGCCUUCUUCAAAAGUCAGUGCAAUCAAGUCUGAUCUCAUGAUCUCAGUGGACUGGAACAAAGCCUAUCCCAAAGAGCACACACUUGGCAUAGUCGUAUCCAUAUAGUUGUUCCUGCUUGCCUGUGCAGGUCCUUCCAGGCCGGUCCUGAUUUAUGAACGGCCCCUGAGCUCUCUCUCCAUCCUGGAGGGGCUCUCUGAUUAGAGAUGGAGAAGAGAGGGCGAGUGCAAACACUCAUGCAUCCACUCACACACCCGAGCAUUUGGUUCUAAUUACACACGGGGCGACUCCAGGGCCGGGUGUCAUCUAGAACACAGAGCUAGAUUUACACUUGACAUGUUUUAUUCACACAGGUUGGUCCUGGCCUGGUAAUUGCAACAUAUUAUCUGGGCCGAUUCAUCAAAGGGAGCAGCUUGCUACAGUAAACUUUUAAAUGAACGACUCAUAUGGGUCGCAGACGUGAAAAGUGGAAGGUUUUAUUAGCAAAAAAAGAGUGAACCAACAAGUACAGUCCAAAUGCUUGGGAGAAAGAGGUGUCCGUGAAACGUUUAUGCCUUUUUUGGGAAAUGAGAAAUAGCCUCUGUUUUUGCGGAUCAAGAUUGAGGUUUGAUCAGCCAUCAUUUUGUGGCAGUAAUUUAGGUCAUGGUUUAGACGUCUUAAAACCAAAAUGUGGCACAUCAGAUGAGAAUAUCCCUUCUGUUACGGUUGUUAGCCAAGGGCUACCCCUUGCUGAUUUAACAGGAGUGUUAAUAUGUGAAGCCAGUAAACACGCUAGUGGAAGCAGAGACUUUAACACGCUGCCCUGCGCUUAAUGCACUUAAUGCCUUAAUGCACAGCAAUGAAUUGAAACUGAGGGGAGAUGCAGUAAUUGUGUUAUUUGGACAUUUGCAUUUAGCAAACACUUUUAUCCGAAGGGACUUAAGAUGAGGACAAUAGAAGCAAUCAAAGCCAACAAAAUGGCAAGUGCUAUGUCAGGUGUUUUCAUAUAAUAAAAAGAAAAGUAGAUAGAAUAGAAAAAGCGUACAACGGUAUUUCUGUGGUGAACAAAUCAUUUGUGUGUUUGCCUUUGUAAUCUUUAAUCCAAAUCUGGGAACAGUAAUUGUAAACGCCUGUGAAAGUUAUGUUGUGCCUCUUUCCUCUUUGGGAUGGCACCAGAAUACACUAUUCAUUUGGAGAACACAUGCAUCUCAAGAGCGAAUAAGGCACAUAACAUUUUUACACACAGACAGACAGAUAGAUAGAUUGACUAGCUUCACUAUAUGGGAUCCAUCUGUAGCUUGAUUGUAUGUACUCUAAACAUCUUUAAUGAAGUAGAGAGGAAGACUCCUCUGUGAACCUGGCCUUCAAAAGCACCCCCCUCUUACAGUCUAAUCCUACUGUAAUGAUUUGGGUCUCGUUACAUCUAGUGUCCGUCCCCCACGGCAUUCCGCCCGAGCCCCCCCACGGAGCAUGACAUCACAGUACAAGCUAAGGCCGGAAAUGCGACAGGUCCCGCCACACGCAACAUGCGAGAUGCAACCCUCGACACGUACGAUGCACAUCGCGCCGCCGGGAAACCCAGGGACACAGAGGCACAGGCUUGAUGGACAAACCAGACCCACCGCACACACAUGUACAUUCUUGCGAGAGGAAAAUGGUAACAGUCAGUCCUGUGCAGUAAAAUAGAAUGGUGCACCUUCAUUGUUCUGGCCUCUGGACUCUGGCCUUGCUUCCUGACACCUUCCGUUUGGGCUCGCACACAGAUGGCCAUGGAUGUACAGGAACAAGUGCGCCCACUCCGCCUGUCCAGACCCAAAUAGAGAGGUAUAGACGCUUAUAUGUGGCCAAGGAGAGGUUAAGGACUUCUCGCUGACCUGGUGUGUGUGAUGCUAUUAGUGUAACGCUGUCUGUAGCCUCAGAUCGGAUGAAUCCCUUGUUAUCCCAUGCAGGGAGCAUUCUAUAUCAGGAAAACUCAUGGAGACACUUAAUGCGUGUGUUUUUAUGUAAGUUUGUGAGGAGUCGCGGGGGUGUCACUGUCUGACAGGAUGCACGGGUCAACUGUCUACGUGUGAGUGCAGCCGGGCCUGGGCCAGCAGGUCAGGGUUGGGCAGCCCACAGGAAACGGCCAAGACAUUCUGGCCCAGUGCAGGGGGACUUAACCCUUGAACUGCCAACUUGGCUGCGCUCUUAAUGUUGCCGGAACUUGCUCCUCCUCGGCCUGGGUGUGACAGUCCAGCCUUUCAGACUGGAAACAAUGUGGAGCAGCACCUUCAUCAUGUAACGCAGCACCUCUGUGUCCCUGCCACAAUGCCUCGUUCUCCCUGCGAAAGUCCAUCGGCCUCUCUAGAGUGCAGUAAGGAAGAGAGGUCUGUAGCGCGUAUGUGGCCACGAGGACACUGCGCACUGGAAUACAGGGACAGGAAGUGCCUCUCCGAGUGGAGGAAUUCUCAGAUGGUGGGGUCUGAGGGAAAGGUUGACGUUUUCGGAAAGGCAACAAUGUCGUGAUGUGCCAUCGACCGCGUGCAGAACACAUUUACGUUGUUUUUUAUAAAUAGGUCACAGAUGAGUCACUCGCAUCAGUACUUCAGGAUAGACGUCUGCUUACUUCCUGGUGCCACGCAGAGGGCAUCGCUGCUCAAGAGCCCCCUAGAUAGCGGGCUAAACUUAAGCAGGGCCCAUCCUGUUUUGGGAUUCUGCCGUAACCUUGAGCGUUUCGACUUUUUCCUGCAUCUCUCCAAAACAGUCAGCUGUUAUCAUUCCAGCGUCGUGCUUGUACCCCACACCACGAUGCUGGCCGCUCGCUCUGAUGCUUUACUCCGCAUCUGUUUGCGUCUGAGGGAGAUGUUUUCGACUGUAUAAAUUGUGCCUUUCUCGUCCGUCUUACUGAUGGCUGCGUUCCAACUCUCAGCUUUAGCCAGUGAGGGCUUUCUUGGUUUCACAUCCCUCUUCAGCCAAACACAAACACACACGUCCGGCCAGCCUGACCCGAGCUAUCUCUCCGCCUGCGAGUGCCAGACGCACACACAUACACACACGCCCUGGACCCUCCUGCUCUUCCCACGUUCCUCCUCUCCCUCUUUCGUCUGUUCUUCUCUCUCUUCUCUGCUUGCGUUUCCUUCUCUCCCUUCCUCUGCCUCAGCACCCUUGUACAUCUCAUUGUCUCUGGUCUCUUCAUCUUUCUCCACUUCCUGUGUCUUGCACCCCGUGCCCUCUCACGCCCCCUCUUUCAAGCUCCCCCCGUUUCUCUCCACAUCUCUCUCUCUUCGCGACGUGACUUUUAGCACAGACUUUGGGGCUGUUGCCAGUAAUCUGGGGCAGAGAGAUGAGCGGACGAACACACACACACAUACACAGACGCAUGCAGAUAUAAUAGGGCACACUCUAAUGUUUCUUCCAUAUACACUCAUUAGUUAUUAGCUAACAAGAGUACAGUCGAUUGUAGUAUUUAAGGAAUAUUGUAGAUUAGACUCCAUCGGCGGAGUCUGUGGACUACUGUUGGUCAAAACUGAAAAUGAAAAUUGUUAACAAUAACACUCCAUUAAAACAAGUGUUAUGGUUAUACUUUUGCAACAACCAUAGCCGUUGUAGACAUGUUUUACAAACUGAGGGAUGAGUCAACUUUUUUUCUUUUUUUUUUUUUUUUUUGUAUAAUUGACAGCAGAGCACAGAUUUUACUCCAGAAUAUGACAUUAGUGUGCAUUUAUAUUAUAGUUUUGUUGUUAUUUGCUUUAUGCAUAUUUAUAAAAAUGUAUGUAAAUACUGUUACGUAUGUUUAUAUUUACAAAGUAUAUUAAAUGAAUAUUAAAUAUGUGGAUAGUAUAUAAAACCUCUCAUGUAUGACUGUGUAACUUGAAAUUAGUUUAGAUAUUCAGUGUAUAAAAUACACAGGCAUAUUCAUAUUUGUAUUUCUAAGUGUAUCAUAGUGUA